UCUAUGUAGAUGCAUGAAAGAUUCAACAGGUCCCGGAGUUAUACGCCUUUAGUUUCUACCCCCAAAUCUAUGAUUAUUCAAGUUCAUCAUUUUGUCUGAAUUCAGGAUUCUGAUGAAGUCUGAUCGAUUAACGAAGUUUGCAGAAUUAUUAUUUUGAAGAUUUUUUGAACCAGCGUUAACUGCGUCCAUGCUUUCCAGAAGUCGCCUAUCAUCCGGAUGUUCUUUUUUACGACGAAAUAGUACCAUUUUAAAAAAGCUGCAGACCGCAUGAGAAUGUUACUACAGCACAACUGCAUCAGCAGUUUGAAGUUACUAGAAUACAACUUGCGUAUGCAGCAGCAUAAGUAGUUCCUAACGAAAAACUAAAGAAAGACGAAAGACGAAAGACGACGACGACGUGACGAGCGAGAGAAGUUGAUGCUAACGAUAAGAUGUGUUGGUGGGUAGGUAGGCCUGAUCAAGUCCCUUUCAAUUUUGUAAAUUUGUACGCGUAUUGGUGGGCGUGCCGAUAAACAAAGAAUGACAAAAAAAAUGUUAAGAGAUUUUCUGUAUAUUCGAUAUAUUCGAUAACUGCGACUAGUUAGCGGAU